GAUGAACGCUGGCGGCGUGCUUAACACAUGCAAGUCGAACGGAAAGGCCCUGCUUUUGUGGGGUGCUCGAGUGGCGAACGGGUGAGGAACACGUGAGUAACCUGCCCUACACUUUGGGAUAACUUCAGGAAACUGGGGUUAAUAUCGUAUCGCAUCCCCCGCAGCAUGGUGGGGGUUGGAUAGUUUCGGCGGUCGGGGAUGGACUCGCGGCUUAUCAGCUUGCUGGUGGGGUAGUGGCUUACCAACAGAUUGACGGAUAGCCGGCCUGGGAAGGUAACCGGCCACAUUAGGACUAAGAUAGGGCCCAGACUGGAACAGGAGACAGCAGUGGGGAGUAUUACACAGUGGGCGGAAGCCUGAUAAAGAGACGCCGGGUGCGGAAUGACGGCCUUGGGGUUAAGAACAGCAUUAGCAUGAGACACAGCGUAAGUGACGGUAAUGGAUAAAUAAGCACCGGCUAACUUCGUG
rnacentral:rRNA from 1 species